GAUGAACGCUGGCGGCGUGCUUAACACAUGCAAGUCGAACGAUGAAGGAGAGCUUGCUCUCUGGAUUAGUGGCGAACGGGUGAGUAACACGUGAGCAACCUGCCCCUGACUCUGGGAUAAGCGCUGGAAACGGCGUCUAAUACUGGAUAUGAGCUCCUGCCGCAUGGUGGGGGUUGGAAAGAUUUUUUGGUUGGGGAUGGGCUCGCGGCCUAUCAGCUUGUUGGUGAGGUAAUGGCUCACCAAGGCGUCGACGGGUAGCCGGCCUGAGAGGGUGACCGGCCACACUGGGACUGAGACACGGCCCAGACUCCUACGGGAGGCAGCAGUGGGGAAUAUUGCACAAUGGGCGGAAGCCUGAUGCAGCAACGCCGCGUGAGGGAUGACGGCCUUCGGGUUGUAAACCUCUUUUAGCAGGGAAGAAGCGAGAGUGACGGUACCUGCAGAAAAAGCACCGGCUAACUACGUGCCAGCAGCCGCCGUAACAC
rnacentral:rRNA from 1 species